AGACGCAUCUUCCCCAUAAGCCACCCCUUCCCAGCACCGCUCGUCCUCCGUCCCGAUUCCGUCGCGCCGCCCGCCUCGUGCGGUCUCCCACAAAGGCCGAAUGCCCCCUGCCGGAUUUGGGGCUUGUGCCGCCGCUGGGUGGCUGGCCCAACGAGCAUCGCGCAAUGGCGACGGCUGGUGAGCCACCUCCCAGAUCUACAUCAAGGAGUAGGCGGUGGUGGCAGUCGUAUUCGCAACCAGACCCUGGUAGCAGCAUUCGCGGAGCUAGGAGGAGGUGGCGGCUCCAUUGCUGGUUGACCGUGCAGCCCAGCAGAGUGUUGAAAUCGAGCCCAGCUACGCACAGUCCUAUGCUGAGAGCUCCACACUUGCUGAGCUCUAAGGAUCCAGCUGCCAAGGCCCUGCACACGUGCAGACCGAAGCUCGCUCUGUUGCUCAUAUGGAAAAAAGCAGGUACUUCCCUCUAAGUCUCUAAUCGUGUGUGACGGCUCACUCUGUUGCCCAAUGGAAAAAGGAAGUAAAGAUGCAACUCAGAUGGCCACCUCUGUCCUAACUCCUGAAAAUGAUAGUAUUUAUUGAUGAAAUAUUGAAUAUGUAGUUGUUUGUUCAUCCUUUUUUGGCGUGAGAUCACAAGGCUCUGAAGCUUGAAACUAUUUUGCAAUUUCGAACAACCAAAAAGGCUUUGGUGUCCCUACUGGUUAUAAGGUGAUGCUAUCGUCCUUCAGAUUCAGUUAAAUUAUUAUCAGAUGAAGCUCUGGACUAGUCAUCAGUGGACCAACUUGGAAGUUGUGGACAACACAUGUUAGUUUGUUUUUGUUCAUCAGUUAUAUAUGUUGAGACAAGGAUAGCUUGAUGUUAAGUGACAUGAUUAAAUAUGUACUCCAGUUUGAUAAAUGAAUGAGUAUGGUUAAUGUGAUCACUUGUGUAUGACGUCCUAAAUCUGUGUAAAUAUUGCAUUGGUCU